CCUACGGUGUGCUGCAGUGAGGAAUAUUGGUCAAUGGGCGUAAGCCUGAACCAGCCAUGCCGCGUGCGGGAUGAAGGUUCUAUGAAUCGUAAACCGCUUUUGUACGGGACUAAAAUGUGUGACGUGUCGUGUUUUGUAUGUACCGUAUGAAUAAGGAUCGGCUAACUCCGUGCCAGCAGCCGCGGUAAUACGGAGGAUCCGAGCGUUAUCCGGAUUUAUUGGGUUUAAAGGGUGCGUAGGCUGUCUUAUAAGUCAGCGGUGAAAGACUGUGGCUCAACCACAGAAUUGCCGUUGAAACUGGGAGGCUAGAGUACGUGUGCGGCAGGCGGAAUGCGUGGUGUAGCGGUGAAAUGCAUAGAUAUUACGCAGAACACCGAUUGCGAAGGCAGCUUGCCAAGCCAUGACUGACGCUGAUGCACGAAAGCGUGGGGAUCAAACAGGAUUAGAUACCCUAGUAGUC
rnacentral:rRNA from 1 species